rnacentral:rRNA from 1 species
UACGGAGGGUGCGAGCGUUGUCCGGAAUCAUUGGGCGUAAAGGGCGCGUAGGUGGCCCGGUCAGUCUUUGGUGAAAGCGCGGGGCUCAACCCUGCGUCGGCCAGGGAUACUGCCGCGGCUCGAGCACUGUAGAGGCAGGCGGAAUUCCGGGUGUAGCGGUGGAAUGCGUAGAGAUCGGGAAGAACAUCAGUGGCGAAGGCGGCCUGCUGGGCUGUUGCUGACGCUGAGGCGCGACAGCGUGGGGAGCAAACAGG